rnacentral:rRNA from 1 species
AGAGUUUGAUCAUGGCUCAGGAUGAACGCUGGCGGCGUGCUUAAUACAUGCAAGUCGAACGGAGACAUUAGCAAUAAUGUUUUAGUGGCGAACGGGAGAGUAACGCGUAGGUGACCUGCCCCGAAGUGGGGGAUAACUGCCCGAAAGGGUGGCUAAUACCGCAUGUGGCGACGUGUCCAUUCACGUCAUCAAAGCCGCGAGGCGCUUCGGGAGGGGCCUGCGUCCGAUUAGCUCGUUGGUGGGGUAACGGCUCACCAAGGCGACGAUCGGUAGGUGGUCUGAGAGGACGAUCACCCAGACUGGGACUGAGACACGGCCCAGACUCCUACGGGAGGCAGCAGUCGGGAAUUUUGCGCAGUGGGCGAAAGCCUGACGCAGCAACGCCGCGUGGGGGAUGAAGGCCUUCGGGUUGUAAACCCCUUUUAGGAGGGACGAAAAUGACGGUACCUCCAGAAAAAGCCCCGGCCAACUACGUGCCAGCAGCCGCGGUAAUA